GAUGAAGAACGCAGCGAACUGCGAUAAGUAAUGUGAAUUGCAGAAUUCAGUGAAUCAUCGAAUCUUUGAACGCACAUUGCGCCCGCCAGCAUUCUGGCGGGCAUGCCUGUUCGAGCGUCAUUUCAACCCUCGAGCCCCCCCGGGGGCCUCGGUGUUGGGGGACGGCACACCAGCCGCCCCCGAAAUGCAGUGGCGACCCCGCCGCAGCCUCCCCUGCGUAGUAGCACACACCUCGCACCGGAGCGCGGAGGCGGUCACGCCGUAAAACGCCCAACUUUCUUAGAGUUGACCUCGGAUCAGGUAGGAAUACCCGCUGAACUUAAGCAUAUCAAUAAGCGGAGGA
rnacentral:misc_RNA from 1 species